rnacentral:rRNA from 1 species
AUGCCCAAUGCACUAUCUUUUUCCUGCAUCUUCUCCCCACAAAAACUGCCUGAUGGCCUUCAUUGCCGUCAGAGGAAAACAGGGGUCACGGCAGAUUGCAAGGGGUCCAAUAAGAGGGGCAAGUGCCCUCUCAGAUACUGCAAGAGUUGCAUAUGUAACAGGUACCCUUUGAUUGCGGAUGAGGUGUUGAAGAAGGAGGCCUGGGAAUGCCCCAAAUGCAGGAAUGACUGCAACUGCAGUAGGUGCAAAACUAGGAAAGGGGAGGCGCCGACGGGGCGAAUGGUCCGUGCUGCCAAGAGGCCGAAGGUCAACCUGGUACGAACUGAGAGCAAUGAUGCUCUCAAGGAUGAAAUAGUUGUACCCAGGGGUACUCUCGUGACUUGCAUUGCAGGUAUGAAGCUGCAGUAUGAAGAUGUUGGUGCUGCUAUUCAAUUUCUGGAGUUCUGCCGCUCAUUUGGCAAGAUCUGCAAAAUAGGGAAGGGGCAACCAGAAGAAACUCUCAGACACUUAACUCAACACAAAGAGGUGUCUUCAGUUGUUGCUGACGUUCACAUAAAUCUUCUGUCUGUCAUAGAAAAUGGCAAACUCAACCGUUCUGAUAAGUAUCCAAGACAUGGAGAUGAAUGGAUAAGGAAAGUAGGCGAGUACAUCUCUUUGACAUUCCAUGCAGAAGAUUUCACCCUUCGGUGCUUAAAUCAGGGGGUAUCAGGAUAUAGAAGUCUGAACCCUUCUUGUAAGCUGGAGGUUCUGAAUUGUCUGUGUGAUGAGGCAUUGUCUUCUGAAAAGUUGAGGACCUGCAUUGACAAUAAAGAUAGAAAAUGUGUGGCCACACAAGAAAUCAAAGCUGCAACCAGAAAGCAAAAGGAGCUAAAAAGAAGAUACGAUGACAUGACUAAAACAAUCCAAGGAGGAGAUACUGCUAACAAUGAGGAAGCUAAUGAUAUCCUUUCUCAAAUAAAGGAAGCAGAAGAAGUCAAGCAGGCUGCCCAGAAUGGUCUGUGA